UGGAACAUGGGAGAUGCCCAGUGAAUACUUGUCAAAUGUUAUAGGAGAAAGUUAUGAAGUAGAUAUUAGAACAGGUAAGAAUCUGUAGCAGACUGUGUUGGCCACUUCCUCAUCAUUUAUUUAGUCCCUCUUUCUUCUCUCUCAGCUGUGGCGGACACCUCUCAGCUGUCUCACCUACCUCCCAUUCCAACUGCUAGAAACAACAUUUCCCAGAAUGCCUUGCAGCCGGGUUCUGCAAGUGAUUUAGAUCCUUCUAGUUAUGAUGCAUGGAAGCUUUUUUGGCCAUCUUGCUACUGACCAACACACAGAGAGGGGCAGUUCCCAGAAAACACAGAAAAGAUGGAGUGCUGAAGUACUUGCCUGGCGUCCUGUCUUCCCAUCUCUGGACUUCCUUAUAUGUGAGGUCAGGAAUCCGGACACAACUUAUCUGAGCGCCUCUGCCAAAAUAUCUCCCCCAAGCUUGUAACCAAGGUGUUGUCCAGGGCUGUGGUCUCAUCUUACAGCUGGACCAGGGGAAGAUCUGCAACCAAGCUCAUGUACAUGGUUGUUGGCAGGAUUCAGUUCCUCAUAAGCUGUUGAACUGAGGACUACAGAUUCUCAUUAGUUGGGUAGAGGCUUCACCGAGCUCCUUGCCAUAUGUCUUCUUCUUAGGGCAGUUCAACAUGGCAGCUGACUUAAUGAGAGAGAGAUUGUGCAUGGCAGAGAAAGUAAGCAAGAUGGAAGUCACCGUCUCUUUAUAGCCUAGUCUCAGAAGUGAAAUCUCAUCAUUUUUUGCCAUAUUCUGUUUAUUUAUAGUAAAGUCACUAAGUCCAGUCUACUCUCAAGGGGAUGGAAUUACACAAGACUGUGAAUACUAGGAUGUGAUAAUCACAGGGAGCCAUUUUAGAGGUUGUGUAUCAUGCUAGGCAAUCAUUAAUCUGCUUUCUGUCACUAUAGGUUAGUUUGCAUUUUCUAGAGUUUUAUAAAAAUAAGAAAUCUUUCACUCAGCAUAAUUAUGUUGAGAUUCAUUUAUAUUGCAUCUAUCAACAGUUCUUUUUAUUUUUUAUUGCCGAGUGGUAUUCCAUUGUGUGGAUAUACCAAAAUUUGUGUAUUCAUUCACCUGUUGAUGGACAUUUGAGUAAUUUA